ensembl:lncRNA
ACUGGUUCAACCGGUUCACUAAGAAGAACUGGUUAAAUAAUACGAUUCAUUCGCGAACCGUACAUCACCAGUACAAAGGGAAGAGAUAUUGAUACGUAGUGUAUUAAAUCUGUGCGUUAGUUUAUUGAGCCUUUUCUUUAAACAGUUUUAAACCUCAGUUACUGUGUGCUCUUGAAGAAAGUUUCAUGGUUUUGACUGUAGUGACUGAAAGCGACACGUAGUUUGAUUGCUGAAUGGAGGAUGACAGACAGCCACAGCAGAAAGAAGAGUUUAUGUGAACUGAAUUUAAUGACUUAAAUAUAAAUCUCUACCUCACAUUGAACUAUGGAACAGCUUCAGAACACUUGAAAUAUGUCCACGAAAACGUUUUGGUGCUUUAUAAUGUUUUUGUGCCUUUCGUGGGGGUCAGCAAUAACACAGAAUAGUAUAUGCACAAUAUCGGAUUUGGAUCGGUCUCGUCUGACCGAUACCCUAUCCACAGAAAAUGGCAGUAUCGGAGCCAAUGCCGAUCCUGAGUAUCAGAUCGAUGCAUCCCUAUACAGUACAUAAGCUAUUGGUGUUAAUACCCAGAUGAUUGCCACUUGCAGAUAAUUUGAAGAUUAUAUUUGUAAUUUUAUAAUUCUCUACAGUCUGUCAACAAACAGGUUGCUGCAAAGACCAUAAACAGGAUACGAGCCAGAUCUUUUCUACAGCAGUAUAAUCAAUAAAAAGAAUCAAACAGGGAGGCAGUAACAUCUAGAAACCGUGACAGUGAAUUUAAUGUUCAAAUACUUGCAGAACUGAGAGAAAUCAAGAGUGUUCUUUUGGGAACUCUGACACUUUUAAAAAAUGGAUGCACUCCAUUAAUGACUGCGCCAAUCCCAAACACAUUGGGAACUCCUGCUGGACCCACUUCAGAUUUGAUCCUCUGCAGUUCAGAGUCUUCUGCAGUCAUACCAGCCCAGAGUUCCUCUCUUCAGACUCUUUAUGUAAAGGAGUCAAGAAGUAAUGGUAACUGCAAAAAUGUAAGAAUUGGCCCCAACACGUCAAUCUCUGCUGAACAGUUUGCCCACGUGAAAUGGACUGAUCACACAAAAGCCACAAAAGACCUCUUGGUGGCAGUGUUUGGAAGAGGCAUUCUCACAACACACUGCUACACUGGAAGAUGUUCCAAUGCAUUCAAAAACAAAGCAGCCAAGCCUCAACUUGAUUCUGAAAAAGUUUCUGACAUCAUUAGUAAGUAAUGAUUUUCUGAAAAUUAAGUUUUGGCAGCAUUAUCAUAUUUUAAGAUAUUCAGGAAUUUGUAAUACUAU